rnacentral:rRNA from 1 species
UACAGAGGGUGCGAGCGUUAAUCGGAGUUACUGGGCGUAAAGGGCGCGUAGGCGGUUGUAUUAGUGUGAUGUGAAAGCCCUGGGCUUAACCUAGGAAGCGCAUCGCAAACGGUAUGACUAGAGUAUAAGAGAGGGUGGCGGAAUUUCCGGUGUAGCGGUGAAAUGCGUAGAGAUCGGAAGGAACGUCAAUGGCGAAGGCAGCCACCUGGCUUAAUACUGACGCUGAGGCGCGAAAGCGUGGGGAGCGAACAGG